rnacentral:misc_RNA from 1 species
UUCUUCUUCUUCUUCUUCUUGGCUUAGAAAAAAAAAGAUGGGACUCCAAAAUGAAAAGAAAAUGAAAAUACUAUGCCUUCAUGGAUUUAGAACCAGCGGAAGUUUCCUCAAGAAGCAAAUUAGCAAAUGGGAUCCUUCUAUUUUCCAUCAAUUUGACUUCGAUUUCCCAGAUGGAAUUUUCCCUGCUAAAGGCAAAUCUGACAUAGAAGGCAUCUUCCCACCACCCUACUUUGAGUGGUUCCAGUACAAUGAGGACUUCACAGAGUAUACAAAUCUUGAAGAAUGCAUCUCUUAUUUGUGUGAAUACAUCACAAGCAAUGGCCCUUUUGAUGGUUUGCUUGGCUUCUCUCAGGCAUGUACUUUGCUCUCUUUUGAUGCCACUGAAAAGUAUUUUUCAAACUCUAAUACUAUUGAGUUAGAACUCAUUGUCAAUGAAUUGUUGCCAAUUUGUCCAAUUGACAUCUCAUCAACAGUUUAAUUCAGUAGUUAGGGAAAAAAAAAAUAGAUGACAUAUGAGCUCAAGCUUUUUAUAGCACUAGUGAAUAUUUACUUGAAUUUUAAGCAUAAGACAAGUGCAAAGAAUUUGUUUUCUGUUUUGUUCAGGGAGCAACACUCUCAGCUCUGUUGAUUGGCUACCAAAUUCAGGUAAUUUAGCCUCUCCCUGCCUUCUCAUUUUCAAUUAAAGUUAGUCUCACUACUCCUUGGGGAUUUUGCCUUUCUGGGUCAUGAUUGAAAACAGCAAAAUAUUUGGUGAUGAAACAGGGAAAAGUGUUGAAGGAACUUCCACCUUUGAAAUUGUUUGUAUCAAUAUCAGGGACAAAGUUCAGAGAUCCAAGCAUAUGUGAAGUUGCUUACAAGGACACUAUCAAGGUGAAGUCCGUUCAUUUUUUAGGAGCCAAGGACUGGUUGAGAUUGCCUUCUGAGGAGCUUGCCACUGCCUUUGAUAACCCUCUUAUCAUAAGGCACCCACACGGCCACACUGUCCCAAGACUUGGUUAGUUCUGCUAGCUACUUUUCUUCCCUUUUUUUGUUCAUUGAUCUUCAACUGGGGUUGAAACUCUGAUACUUCCGCUAGCUACUUAAUUACCUUUUUUUUUUUCAAUGAUAUUGAGAAGGGAAGUUGAUGAUUCUAAUUGUAUGGUGUUUGAUGUUAUUACAAAUAGAUGAGGAAUCUACUGAGAAGCUACGUGCAUGGGCGACAGAGAUCAUCCAAUGCAACAACAGAAUUUUGGAGAAAGAAGAAAUUAAGGUGGAUGAGGAAAAGAAGCAAGAAAGGCCUGAUAAGAUAGACAACCAAGAGCAGACUACUAUUCCAGUUUGAACCAAUGAACUAACAAUGGAGCAACUAUUAGCUGCAAAACUACCCUCUAUGCUUUCUAUUAUAUGCUAUGCUUUGAGCUAUUGCGCCCUCCCUUCGUAAAGAUAUAAAUAAAUAAUAAAAAUAAGGGAGAAAGAAGAAGAUUAAAUGAAGUUGAAGCUCACCCAGUCUCUUGUAAGUUUGACAGUUUAGUGCUGAUGUAGUAGCAAUGUUCAUAAAGGGGCUAAUUCUUAAGCCUUACAGAGAAACUUGAGUCAAAUUUGUUCACUUUAGGAGAUUGACGUGUGCGAAAACCAAUUUUGGAAGUCGACAGUGAAUGCCAGAAACCAUCAAAGCCAUUAGUACUGUCACUGCUUAAUUAAUUACAUUAUGAUAUUAUCCUAAGAUAAAUCUUUCAUGGUAUUGAAUGUUCGACAUUUUAAAGAACUUGAUUAAGAUGUGCGUUAAUUUUUAUGUUGCUUGAAGUUUGGAUAUGUCUUCAUAUAUCUGAAUUAUGACUCCAUCUGAAAGUUUCAUAUUGUGGCCCGAUUGGGAUAAAAAGUGAGAUUUGUGGUGGUAGUGAAAGGCACGGACUGAUAGGGCUGGGAUCGAAAUCCAUCAUUAAUCUCUUUAGGGGCGUGGAGGUAACCUCUUUGCGGCAUGGACCGGUAUAAAUAUUGUAAUAUUUUGCCAUUUGCUAUAGAGUUGAGAGAUAUUAAGGAAACACAUGAGACUAAGUUUUGAAAGUUCUAAAUAAUUAUAUUUUACUUUUUCUCUUGUCUUGUCCAUAGACGUAAACCUUAUGGUUGAAUUAUGUUAAAUUCUG